AAGGGAUCAUCUCCCUUGGACAUUAAGGUUCUCUCUGACGUCUAUGCCGAAAGAGAAUAUAGGCUACUUGGUUAAUCCAAUGACCGAACCCUUAUGUGUAGAGAGGCUUGCCUAAUCUGCCAAGGACCAAUCAAUUUUUUUGUACUUGUUACCUCCAUCAUCAAUAAACUAUAUCGCUUUUCCCAAAAACAAAAACAAAGGAAUGAUGGUAACCGCCAUGUUGCUCCAGUACAGUGCUACGUAUAUUGCAAGGUCUGAUCACGAAUCUCCUUGAACUAUUGGGAAUCAACCGCAUACGUGAAAUAAAAUUGAUCCAUUCUCAAUCCCUUGGACUUCUAGAUCACAUGUGUGAAGUGAUAAAACAUUUGGAUGGUAUAGACAUGGAAGAUUUAUGUGGUGGAGCCAUUUUCCAAGCUGUCGAGCUAGGGGUUUUCGAGUUUAUUGAUCGUAUAUUCCAAGCAAGUCCAGAUCUCGUGUGGAGCAAUAAUCAAAAUCAAAGAAACCCCUUGCAGUUUGCCAUUGAAUGUCGUCAAGAAAGGAUUUAUAGCCUGAUUUAUAGACUCGAUAAAACAGAAAGAAAUGUGAUUGGAAAUCUUGGAGAUACCUCUAACAGUAACAUGCUACAUAUGGCAGCGAUGUUAUCGCCAUUGGCAAAGCUCGAUAAU